rnacentral:rRNA from 1 species
UACGUAGGCAGCGAGCGUUGUUCGGAAUUACUGGGCGUAAAGAGUGUGUAGGCGGUGUUCCCAGUCUGUUGUGAAAUCUCCCGGCUUAACUGGGAGGGUGCAGCGGAAACUAGAAUGCUAGAGGGUGGGAGAGGUAAGCGGAAUUCCUGGUGUAGCGGUGAAAUGCGUAGAUAUUCGGAAGAACACCAGUGGCGAAGGCGGCUCACUGGACUGGUAUUGACGCUGAGGUGCGAAAGCGUGGGGAGCAAACAGG